CAGAGGGUUUGUGCAAGCUCGCUGGGUGGCGACGCUAGCCACGGUCCCGAGGACCAUGACAUCAAUGAGCUGGCUUUCACCUUGUUCAAGGCAGCAGCGGAACACUAUGGGCGGGACCCUGGGUCGACGCACCAGCCGGCUCAUGGCUGCUGUCCUGUACCCUGCACGGCACUACGUGUGGCUUAACUGGCCAAGCAGAGGGUCAUCGCGUGACUUUUAUGAGGCGUCGCUAGCCAUUGUUUCAAACCGUCCUGAAUCGUGGACCAAGCCUUGCAAGACUUCAC